rnacentral:tRNA from 1 species
GACGCCUUACCCAAGCGGUUAAGGGGCGAGAUUAGAAUCAUUAUUCGAUCAUCUCGUACGCGUAGCGUGCGUCGGUUCAAAUCCGGCAGGCGUCG